rfam:Heligmosomoides polygyrus genome assembly, scaffold: HPBE_scaffold0002157
GCAACGGUGUCCGAGUGGUUAAGGAGAUUGACUAGAAAUCAAUUGGGCUCUGCCCGCGUAGGUUCGAAUCCUGCCCGCUGCG